rnacentral:rRNA from 1 species
AAUCAACGCUGGCGGCGCGCCUAACACAUGCAAGUCGAACGAGAAAGCCGCAAGGUGAGUAAAGUGGCAGACGGGAUAGUAACACGUGGGAACGUACCUUUCAGUUCGGAACAACCCAGGGAAACUUGGGCUAAUACCGAAUACGUCCGUAAGGAGAAAGAUUUAUCGCUGAAAGAUCGGCCCGCGUCUGAUUAGCUAGUUGGUGAGGUAAUGGCUCACCAAGGCGGCGAUCAGUAGCUGGUCUGAGAGGAUGAUCAGCAUCACUGGGACUGAGACACGGCCCAGACUCCUACGGGAGGCAGCAGUGGGGAAUAUUGGACAAUGGGCGCAAGCCUGAUCCAGCCAUGCCGCGUGGAUGAUGAAGGCCUUAGGGUUGUAAAGUCCUUUCGGCGGGGAAGAUAAUGACGGUACCCGCAGAAGAAGCCCCGGCUAACUUCGUGCCAGCCGCCGUAGUAAC